UGAUCAUUUUGGGGACAGUUCCUUAUUAACCCCUUAUAUCGCUCCCAUGCCUCAUACAAAGAUUCUACCACUUAUUGCUCAAAAUUGGCUAUGGCUUUCUUAAGCUU